GACGAACGCUGGCGGCGUGCUUAACACAUGCAAGUCGAACGGAAAGGCCCUGCUUUUGUGGGGUGCUCGAGUGGCGAACGGGUGAGUAACCCGUGAGUAACCUGCCCUUGACUUUGGGAUAACUUCAGGAAACUGGGGCUAAUACCGGAUAGGAGCUCCUGCUGCAUGGUGGGGGUUGGAAAGUUUCGGCGGUUGGGGAUGGACUCGCGGCUUAUCGGCUUGUUGGUGGGGUAGUGGCUUACCAAGGCUUUGACGGGUAGCCGGCCUGAGAGGGUGACCGGCCACAUUGGGACUGAGAUACGGCCCAGACUCCUACGGGAGGCAGCAGUGGGGAAUAUUGCACAAUGGGCGGAAGCCUGAUGCAGCAACGCCGCGUGCGGGAUGACGGCCUUCGGGUUGUAAACCGCUUUCGCCUGUGACGAAGCGUGAGUGACGGUAAUGGGUAAAGAAGCACCGGCUAACUACGUG
rnacentral:rRNA from 1 species